UGCCAGCCGCCGCGAUAACACGGAGGGGGCAAGCGUUGUUCGGAAUGACUGGGCGUAAAGGGCGCGUAGGCGGAUCGUCAAGUCAGAGGUGAAAGCCCCGGGCUCAACCCGGGAGGUGCCUUUGAAACUGACGGUCUUGAGUACGGGAGAGGUGAGCGGAACUCCCAGUGUAGAGGUGAAAUUCGUAGAUAUUGGGAAGAACACCAGUGGCGAAAGCGACUUUCUGGCUAUUUUCUGACGCUGAGGAGCGAAAGCGUGGGGAGCAAACAGGAUUAGAUA
rnacentral:rRNA from 1 species